UAGAAAAUAACAAAGUAGACAUUGAAAGCAAGAACGAAGUACACCUAAAACGCUCCAAAGUUCCAAGCUUGAAAUGCCAAGGACCUUUGUUUUCACCACCUUGUUGUAGCACAAGUGUCUAGGAUGUGUAUGGAUAUAUGGAUGGAAUGGAUUUGCACGACAUGGAAAAUGGAAAUGUAUGGACAUGUGUUUGAAUGUAUGGAUGAAAUGGAAUGGAGCUCAAGGCAAGGGACUUGUGUUUGUGAAUGAAGCUCUUUUGAUGGAUCAAGAUUGUUCUUAGGAAGGGGAAUGGUGGAUGUAUUUAUAGGCUAAGGAGAGGACCACUUCAAUUCCUUGCAUGUGCAGUUUGUAUGGGUGUGUGAUGUCCAUGUUUCCCUUUACAUUUGCACACACAUGACCUCCAUCAUUUCAGCCACAAAUCAACCCAUUUUUUGCCAUGUGUGUGUGUUUCCUUUGCCCAUGUGUGUGUGUUUCCUUUGCCCAUGUGUGUGUGUUUCCCUUGCCCAUGUGUGUAUGUUUUUCCUUUGCAUUUGCACACACAUGUUCUUCAUUAUUUCAGCCAACAAUCCACCCAUUUUCUGCCCAUGCCAAGCCCUCCAUGCAGUGCCUUUCUUGUUAUGUGUGUGCUGUCCAUGUAGAGUGUGUGUAUGCCCUCCAACCUGUGCAGUUUGAAUAUGAACUUAUCAAAUACCCCCACACUUAGCUUUUGCUAGUCCUCGAGCAAAAGAAAGAAAACAAAACAGAACCUAAACCUUCCAACGUUUGCCUCAAGGAUUUCCAACGCACAUGAUAAGUUAAAAAUCAUCAUUCCCACAUAUUUUAGUCAACUUAACACUUGAGCACAUACUUAAUCAUAGUCACCGCAUACUAGUUCACAUGUAACCAAUUAAAAUGAUGUUUUAAAUGUAGUAACAUGCCUUAGAGAAUUUGCUCAAUUCUUUACAAGAUAUGCACUCAAUUUUCACUCAGAUAUUCUGACUACACACCCUACACAAGGUAUAUGUGAGAAGAUUGAUGUAAACAUGAAAACUAGUAAUCACAUAUAUGUAUAACAAGAAAGCAUUUUCUGGUAUUAAUAAGCAUGUUUAGAUAUGAUCUCAUGAAUGGAAUGCUACUACUUAGAUGCGAGAACCAGUGACACCAUAUGCUCAUACCAAAUUCAAACUCCACAAAUUGAAACACAUAAAACUCAAGAUAGAAGUCAAAGGUUGUAACGGGGCUUAGGGUAUUGGCUAAUAAAGAAAUGAUAGGAAUAACAAAUGUACUUAAAGCGAUAGCAAGCAAAGCAAUGAAAUAGACACUUUGGAAUUCACUUUAGAAUGCAGAAUCAACUUUUAAAUACAAAGGGAAGAUUCAUGCAACACUUAGGGCUCUUUUUCACAACUUUUCUUCUUUUCAUUCUAUUUUCCACGAAUGUUUUUUUUUUCUUUUUCUUUUCUACCCGUGCCUUAUUAAGGACUUUGGCACACACACACACACACACAAGAAUCACUUCCUUCACACUUGUUUUUCUGCAAAAGUUCAACAAAAGGAAUUCCUUCUAAAUUAUGUUUUACUAUGCUUCAAGGACAAGGGUAUGGAUGGUCCUAAUCUAGGCUAGGUGAGGAUAGUGUGGGUUAACAAAGAACAUAGGCUACACAGGGCUCAACGGGGGUAAACUUAAACACAUAAUGAAAUAGGGCACGGCAAUUUGGCUGUGGUGGUCACUACACAACUUCAUCUUGAAUAUGUAUUAUGCAAAUCAAUACCAUGCUUUGAAUGAAAUAGGCAUGAGUUCUAGCAUUUGGAACUAACUAAUGAAACGCCUUCUAAGUAGCAACCAAACAAAGAAUAAUGAGAUCAUGCAACGACUUUAGAAAACAAUGAUGCACAGAUUAUUAACUCUCCAAAUAAACGUUUAGGCUCAAGUCUCACAAGGUUGUAGCGUACAUUUGAGUUCCUUCUUUCAAGCAUGUUACAAAAUUGAUUUUUCCUUUAUGAUUGCAUGUGAAUUCAUAAAUUAUAACCACAACCAAGCAUACACCAAAGAGUAAAUCAAAUUUUCAUCCAUGUUUAUAACUCUCUUUAACAGUCAUGCAAUUAAAAACCAAAUCCUCAUCAUUGUGUUGAAAGGUACCCUAAGGCACAAAUAAACAUACAAAAAACUCUUUUUGGGUUUUCAAAACAAUUUUUCAAAUUUUUAUGAGAUUUUCGGAUUUUUAUGUCAAAACACACUGAAACACUCCAAAACAACUUAAAAACACUUAAAACAGCAAGGAACAACACUAGAAGUAAUGGGUGAUAAACUCCUACGAAUUUCAUGCAAAACAAUGGUUACCCCCCACACUUAAAUAAAACAUUGUCCUCAAUGUUUCAAGCAUAAACUCACACAAACAAACAACGAAUAAACAUGACAAGUAUGGCAAAGUAAAAAUUAGACAGAGUAGAGUUUAAGAACGCAAAUCUAGUUUUGGAGAUAGAUGAUCUUGUUAUCUUUCCACAGCUUUGAUGUCGAACUGGUUUGGAAUUCUGAGCGAGGAAUAUAAGAGUUCCUUGGUUUCAAAUCAGACUCAUUCUGCUGGGUUGAUUUGAUUGUGCAGUCUGCAUUCUUCUCUGCUUGUUUCUUCUGCACGGCGGGCAGGUACGAGGUAGAGGUGUUGGUCUGUUUCUUUCUUCAAUCUUUCCAAGUGCCCACCUCUUGCUUUCUUUCUCCUUGUCCCUAGCUGAGGAUGAAUUGGCAAAUUGUCUCCACAUGCUUUGAGGUAUCAUUUUCACUUCCCUUAUUUGUUCCCCAAGCAGAUGUUGUAGACGAAGAUGAAGCAUAAAAGGAUGAAGAUGAGUACUCGAGAGCAAGACUAGGUAAGCAAUUAGGAAGGGAUUCCAGGCAGUCGGUUCCAGAUCGGAAGAUUGAUACUAAGUGCUGGCUGAUUGCUCUCUUUCUCCUUGUCCUAAAACAACGACAAGGAGAAGGACAAGGAGAAAGCAUGAUAUGAUAUACUCUUGCUUUCAACCUUCAUGGUGUGAAAUACUUUUUCUUUGGAUCAGUUGUUUGUAGAGGUACCCCAAGGAAUAAGGAACACUGAGUGACUCGAGAGGGUUUGUUGGAAAGGCAUUCUCGGAGAACAAGAAGGGUUAUGUAUGUUUUCCUUGCAAUGAAGGGUGAAGGGUGACAUUUAUAGGAAUUAAUAACUGGUACUAUUCUUUCACUCUUGUCAGCAACCAUUGGGUGAUUUAAUAGUACACUUCACGUGCUUUCUACUUCACAAGAGAUCUUCGACAGAUUGCUCGUAAUUUCCGCAAAGCUGACUGUGCAUGUGACAGGCGCUGAUACGUCUGGAAAAGCAAGUGCCUCUUCGAUAUCUGGAAUCGGCGCUUCGACAAACUGCCUGUGAUUUCCGCAAAGCUGACUCUACAUGUGUUAGAUGUUGACACCUUUGGAAAAGCAGAUGGUUGGAAUCGGCGCUUCGACAAACUGCCCGUGAUUUCCGCAAAGCUUACUCUGCAUGUGACAGAUGCUGACACGUCUGGAAAAGUAGAUGCCUUUCUGAUAUCUGGAAUUGCCUCUUCGAUCUCUGAAAUCCCGUCGAGUGCAAAGGUUGCAUGUGACAAGUGCGGACAAAUCUGGAAAAGAAGAUUGGCCAUGGUUUCUGAGCAAGCCUAGCUUUUGAGAAAGCUAGCGCCUCUUUGAUUUUUGAGUUAGCCUCUUCGAUUUCUGAGCUUGCUUCUUCGAUCUCUGAAAUCCCAUCAUGUGCUGAUUUUUAUAGAGGUACGCAGGAUGUUCAAAACACACUUGAAUUUCUGCCUGUAAAAACUCCCUUCUUGCACUUCUACGAUCUUGACUUGUAUGACCUCUUCUUUCUUUAACACCUCUGAAAAUGUCUGGCCCCUCCGACUGUCGUUUUGACUUGAACCUUGGUGAAGAGGCAAUCUCGCCUUCUCCAGACAACAUAUGGCGCCCAUCCUUCAUAUCCCUUACUGAUCCCCUUACCGUUGGGGAUUCGAUGAUGAAGAAUGAUAUGACAGCUGCGGUGGUGGCCAGGAACCUUGUCACUCCCAAAUAUAAUAGACUACUUGCCAAACGGUCUGAUGAGUUGGCUGUUAAGGAUUCUCUGGCUCUCAGUGUGCAAUGCGCAGGUUCCGUGUCUAAUAUGGCUUAACGCCUAUUUUCCCGAACCCGUCAAGUUGAAUCAUUGGCGGCUGAAGUGAUGAGUCUCAAGCAGGAGAUUAGAGGGCUUAAGCAUGAGAAUAAACAGUUGCACAGGCUCGCACAUAACUAUGCUACAAACAUGAAGAGGAAGAUUGACCAUAUAUAGUUGUGAAUCUGAUGGUCAGAUUUUACUUGAUCAUCAGAGGUUUAUGGGUUUGUUCCAACAGCAUUUGCCCUCAUCUUCUUGGGCUGUACCGCGUAAUGAAGCUCCAAAUGAUCAACCUUCGAUGCUUCCUCCUGCUGGGGCUUCGCCGACUGCUGAGGCUCCGCCGACUACUGAGACUUCUCCUAAGCAGCCUUUGUGAAGGCUCCCUAUUGUAUUUAUUUGCUUAAUGUUCCUUUCUUUUUUUAUGAAUGUAAAAAUACCUUGCAUAACUGUCAGUGUUUCAAAAAUAAACCCACACCAAAAACAAUUAAACAAGCAACAAAUAAAAAUGACAAUCAUGGCAAAAUAAAACUAUAGAAAAGGGAAGGUUUUUAGGAAAGCAAAACCAAUUGUGGAGCAAUUCAAAAAUCUUCCUCAUUUGAAUACAUGGGUUGCCUUCUAAGAAGCGCUUACUUUAACGUUUUCCAGCCGGACGAAACUUCCUUCUAAACUUGGAUAGGGCUCAUAGCAUGGAAUUGAUCCUUGAAUGGAAGGUGAUACUUGACGUGAUCCGGCAAUGGUUUAAAUUCUAGUGUAGGUGCCUGAAUAAUCAAAAUCAGCAAGUUAGUAUAUAAUAAAAUCGAAGUUGGAGAAGAUGGCUUACUUGCUUGCUCCAACACAAACUUAAUUACGAACACCACAUAUUUGAAGGUUGCAGGGACAUGGGACUUGGCCAGAUUUGGUGUUUUGAGAGUUAUGACUUGUCCCGUGUUAUAAAAUCCAACUUCUUUGGGAAUUUUCAUCUCAAGUGUAUCUUCUUUGAUGAAUUCUAGACAUUCCCCAUCCACUUCUUGCUCUUGAUUCGUUGGAAAGGUUUCAAAGAUGCCUUUCUCACCCUCUUCUUCCUUGGAUUGCAUGAUCCUGCAAGGAAUAAGGACAUUUGGUGAAACGGGGUCAGGGCAAAUUGAAUUUAGGCUUACCUUGGUUGUAGUGGAUGGCAUGGAUGGCAUAUGGGGUUGCGGCAAUGGUGGUUCUUCCCUUGUCGUGGCCUUGUUAUUCUCCUCUUCUUCGAGCAGCAGCUGUUUAUCCAUGUUUUGGCUUGGUUUGGAUGUCUUGGGUUCACCUCCAACCUCGAUAACACUUCCCAAAGUGAUAACAUCAUGGAUUUCAAAAUCUUCCUUCAAAUUUUCAAUAGUUGAGUUGGAAAGUUCACUUUGCUCUUGAAUUUGUGCCAUGAACUCCAUAAUCUGCCCAAUUUGCUUAUCCAAUUCACCCGUCUUCUUGGCUUGAUUUUGCAUCUCUUUGUUUCCAUUUUCUACUUCCUGGUUCAAAUAGGUGAGUAACUUAUUAAACAUAUCAUUAUCCAAAGACGUACCUGAAUUGAAUUGGGCUGAUUGUUGUGGUGGCUGCAUAGGUCUUGAAUAGAACUCUUCUUCUUACUGCCAAUACCCAUCUUGUUGGAAUUGUUGAGGUUCUCCCUACAUGUAAUCUGAAUAAUCUCUCAAAUCCGAAUUGUAUGCGUUGGAAAACAUGUUGUCCCAUGAUUGGCUAUGGCCUUGAUAACCCCAAGCAUCUUCAUUCGCAACGAAUUGAGAACAUUGAUGAGUUGGAUAUCCUUGCCCAUAGGAUACACCAUAUGUAGGGACACUUUGUAUUGUGGUUCUUUUGGCAUAUUGUGACAAUUGAGAAGUAAGUUUCGCCAAUUGCGCUUGAAUGGUAGCAAAUUCCAUGUCUUACUUCUCUAGUAUCUGAAAUCAAGGAAACAAAACUAAAUCAAAUAUCAUAAGUAAAAAUCAAAGACAAAAAUAGAAACAGAGUCAGUAACUAAAACAAAAGACAUGAAAAAGAAACAACGGGGGAUUAGCAAAGUUGCUAAUCCCCGGCAACGGCGCCAAAAUUUGAUGCGAAAAUUAACUUAACACACAAAUUAAACCCUCUUGUUGUCAAAUUGUAGUAUAAAUGCAAGUAGGGAUCGUUCUAAACCAAGGAUUAGGAGGGCUUGCUAAAACCUCUAAACUAACUCAAAGACAUAAAAACAAAGUUAAAAACGUUUGAAUAGACUCAAAGGACUCAAAACAGAUUCUAAAGACGCAAAACAACUUAAACACACUCAAAAUUGCCUAAAAACACUUACUAGGUAGAUUUGACUCUAACACAACUUUGGACGAAAUUUGGGUUUUGACUUGAAUCAAACCACUCAAAAACACCAACGAAAUAGAAAUUUAACACUUUGAAACAACAAAGUAAAAUGGGGAUUUCGGUUUUGAUGAAUUUGAAACAAGCAAACAAGUUAUAAAACUAGGCAGAUUGUAAGACAAAUUUGAGGAAUACGAUGAUGGAUGGAUUAGUUAGAGGACCGUUCUUCCACAUGACACACUUGUACAUGAAUCGAUUUCCAAUUGCUUUUCAAUAAACUAUGAUGCUCAACACCCCAGAUUAACCGUGAUGCACAAAUUAACCCUCAGAUUUUCCUUUACUCAUUGAAUUGGAUGAAUGCAUACGACAACCCAAAUCAUUCUCUAAAAGUCCCCUAUAUGAAUGCAUAAUAGAGAUACAAUCAGAGAUCAUUACGUUCAAUGAAAAUCAUAAGUGUUGACGAGGCAAUUAUAACUAUGAAUGCAUGAUACAAUUGCCAAGAAUUCAAUUAACGCGAUUGUGAUAAACAACCUUCACUACUCAUGAAUAUAAACUUGUAACGAUUAGGUGAAACUCAUUCUAGCAUCUAAUUCAUGCAUGAAAACUAAGUAUGCAUCCUUAAUAAACAUACAAGAAUCAGUUAUGAAUAAAAUAGAUAAUUGAAUUGCAAUCACAACUUAUCAAAUCACAAUUGGAAGAAAUCAAUUCAAAUCAAGCAUGUUCAUGGCUUCAAACUUCCCCCUAACUAAAUAGGGAUUUAGCCACUCAUAAUUGCAACAAAAUUAGAAAAUAACAAAGUAGACAUUGAAAGCAAGAACGAAGUACACCUAAAACGCUCCAAAGUUCCAAGCUUGAAACGCCAAGGACCUUUGUUUUCACCACCUUGUUGUAGCACAAGUGUCUAGGAUGUGUAUGGAUAGAUGGAUGGAAUGGAUUUGCACAACAUGGAAAAUGGAAAUGUAUGGAGAUGUGUUUGAAUGUAUGGAUGAAAUGGAAUGGAGCUCAAGGCAAGAGACUUGUGUUUGUGAAUGAAGCUCUUUUGAUGGAUCAAGAUUGUUCUUAGGAAGGGGAGUGGUAGAUGUAUUUAUAGGCUAAGGAGAGGACCACUUCAAUUCCUUGCAUGUGCAGUUUGUAUGGGUG
rnacentral:lncRNA from 1 species